rnacentral:rRNA from 1 species
CAAANACAUGGGCCUCUUGGCAUAUUAAAUAGGAGGUCGGACCUGCCCCAGUGAAAAUUAAAUUUAACGGCCGCGGUAAAUUGNCCGUGCAAAGGUAGCAUAAUCAUUAGUCUUUUAAAAGAGGGCUGGAAUGAAGGGUUUGACGAGGUAUUAACUGUCUCAGCUUAUAUGUAUUUAAAAUUUAACUUUUUAGUUAAAAGGCUGAAAUUUAAUUGGAAGACGAGAAGACCCUAUAGAGCUUUAUAUUUUUCUUUUUAAUGUGUACCUAUAUUAUUUAUAUUUAUCUGGAAAGGUAUUGUGUUGGGGUGACAAAAAUAUAUAAUAAACUUUUUUAUUAUUAAAACAUUGAUAUAUGAGCAUUAGAUCCAUUAUUAUUGAUUUAUAGAUCGAGUUACCNUCGGGAUAACAGCGUAGUCCUCCCCCAGAGUUNAUAUUUACGGGUAGGGCUUGCGACCUCNNUGUUGGNUUAAGANAAUACUUNGUGUGUANCCGNUNNNNNNNAGGUCUGUUCGACCUUUAAAUUC